rnacentral:lncRNA from 1 species
CCUUCGAGGGAAUAACCUGGAUUAUGGCCAAUACUUUCUACUUCUAAUAGUCUUCCAGUUUCAUUGUUCACAAGGGGUUGGUAAACAAAAAUCAAUGAAAAGAGCAGGGUCUUCUCUAUUUUGGAUUUGGACACUGAUGAUGAAGCUGUGAUAUUCUGAUCCAGGACUCAAUGGCUCCUCCUGGAUCUUCUAACAAGGUCAAUCUGGCUGAGUUCCAGACAGUCAGCUGAUGGUCUCAUAUGAGGAAUCUAAAGUUGAUGAAGAUGGUGGUAGUAGAGUGGUGUAAUCCUCAUAGCUCAAAAACGAUCAGAGCUCAUUAAUUAUUAACUAACUAGAACUUUUAUGGCUCAUUAGCUACUGGUUAAAUGUCAGAAUUCCAUAUAGUCAGAAUCAUGGAGCAUGCAGCCUCUUUAGUGGGCUGCCUUGUGCCUGGGUCUGAAGAGAAGAGGAAGAAAGAGGGGAGUCUGAUGGACAAAGCUCUGUGGAGGACGUGGCACUGAGCAGAAACUUGAAACAGAGCUUGACUGGCUGGCAGGAUGAGAAGAAUGGACUCUUGGCUGAAGGGGAAGCAAGCACAAGCACAUAGAGAUGAGGAAGCAUGGGUGGUGGUAUAUAGGGUACCAUGCAUGUGUCAAAAAUCAAAACCAGGGAGCCCAGCCUCUAAUAUGAGAAGAUUCCAGAUUUCAAAAGCACUAGGUACUAUUUGAUAAACCAAACAUUUUCCCUGUUAUUGCUAGAAGCAGACACACAUAGGCACAUUUGCAUCCUCUAUAUUGAUACUUCUCAAAUCAUCCAUAGUAA